rnacentral:rRNA from 1 species
ACGCGAUAAACCUUACCAGGUCUUGACAUCCCGAUGACCGGUUCGUAAUGGAACCUUCUCUUCGGAGCAUUGGAGACAGGUGGUGCAUGGUUGUCGUCAGCUCGUGUCGUGAGAUGUUGGGUUAAGUCCCGCAACGAGCGCAACCCUUAUCCUCAGUAGCCAGCAGGUAAAGCUGGGCACUCUGUGGAGACUGCCAGGGAUAACCUGGAGGAAGGUGGGGAUGACGUCAAAUCAUCAUGCCCCUUAUGAU